rnacentral:rRNA from 1 species
CUGGCAGUAAACGGUGCGCGUUUGGUGUGGGAGGAUUCGACCCCUUCUGUGCCGGAGCUAACGCGUUAAACGCGCCGCCUGGGGAGUACGGUCGCAAGAUUAAAACUCAAAGAAAUUGACGGGGGCCCGCACAAGCGGUGGAGUAUGUGGCUUAAUUCGAUGCAACGCGAAGAACCUUACCUAGCCUUGACAUGCAUCUCUAAGUCGGUGAAAGCCGGCGACUGUAGCAAUACAGAAUUUGCACAGGUGC